rnacentral:rRNA from 1 species
CUCCGCCAGCGACCGGCGCACGGGUGAGUAACACGUAUGCAACCUGCCCCUGUCAGGGGGACAACCCGCCGAAAGGCGGGCUAAACCCGCGUACAUGCCACCGGGGCAUCCCGGAGGCAGGAAAGGCUUCGGCCGGACAGGGAUGGGCAUGCGGCGCAUUAGGCAGUAGGCGGGGUAACGGCCCACCUAACCGACGAUGCGUAGGGGUUCUGAGAGGAAGGUCCCCCACACUGGUACUGAGACACGGACCAGACUCCUACGGAAGGCAGCAG